GCCUGGGUGGCUCAGUCGGUUGAGUGUCCAACUUUGGCUCGGGUAGUGAUCUCGCAGUUCGUGGGUUUGAGCCCCGCACUGGGCU
rnacentral:tRNA from 1 species